rnacentral:miRNA from 1 species
UAGACACACGCGUUGGACCCU